GCCCCCAUUGGUAGUGGUGGGGGAGGUCUCUAGCUCUCCCACAUGGAGGGAGGUGGGAGGUCUCUCCCUGCCCCAGUGGUGGAGAUGAUCUCUAAUUGUCCAUCUUGGUGGGGAGGGGGUGGUCUCUAAUUGCCCCCUCUGGGUGGGUGGAGGUCACAGGCUGCCCCCCCCAACACACACACACACACUGUCGGUGAGGAAGCUGUCCUCUUCCCCCAGAAGGUUGAGAGGAGGGGAAGCUCUUUCUUAUUAGAGCAGAGUGAGAGCAGAAAUCUCUGCUGCCUUUGGUUCAUUCGGGGGUUUUUCACCUUCCUGUCACCAGUUUCAAUCCAGCCCCAGCCCACAAUGAUUGCAUGUGACAUCAGCUACUUAGCUGCCCCCGUUUGAAGUGAGUUUGGUGGGUCUCAAUUCAAUCCUUAGGGAUGCUUGUUUACAUCUAAAAAGCCACCUCUGCAAUUGCUGAUGUGGUUAAAGCAGGGUACUUGGAGUCAGGACUCUUGGGUUCCAUUCCCAGCUCAGAUCAGAGGGUGUGUGACAUAGUCAUUAAACAAGAGUGUGGGAAGCAGGAUCCUGGAUUCAUUUUCCCUCUGUCUGCCUCAAUUUCCCAUCUGUACACCAAGAAUACCAAUAUACAUAUCACGUGAA